rnacentral:rRNA from 1 species
UUGGGGAGCGAGUCUACCAUGCAAGUCGAGCGGUAGCACAGAGAGCUUGCUCUCGGGUGACGAGCGGCGGACGGGUGAGUAAUGUCUGGGAAACUGCCUGAUGGAGGGGGAUAACUACUGGAAACGGUAGCUAAUACCGCAUAACGUCGCAAGACCAAAGUGGGGGACCUUCGGGCCUCAUGCCAUCAGAUGUGCCCAGAUGGGAUUAGCUGGUAGGUGGGGUAACGGCUCACCUAGGCGACGAUCCCUAGCUGGUCUGAGAGGAUGACCAGCCACACUGGAACUGAGACACGGUCCAGACUCCUACGGGAGGCAGCAGUGGGGAAUAUUGCACAAUGGGCGCAAGCCUGAUGCAGCCAUGCCGCGUGUGUGAAGAAGGCCUUCGGGUUGUAAAGCACUUUCAGCGGGGAGGAAGGCGGUGAGGUUAAUAACCUUGUCGAUUGACGUUACCCGCAGAAGAAGCACCGGCUAACUCCGUGCCAGCAGCCGCGGUAAUACGGAGGGUGCAAGCGUUAAUCGGAAUUACUGGGCGUAAAGCGCACGCAGGCGGUCUGUCAAGUCGGAUGUGAAAUCCCCGGGCUCAACCUGGGAACUGCAUUCGAAACUGGCAGGCUAGAGUCUUGUAGAGGGGGGUAGAAUUCCAGGUGUAGCGGUGAAAUGCGUAGAGAUCUGGAGGAAUACCGGUGGCGAAGGCGGCCCCCUGGACAAAGACUGACGCUCAGGUGCGAAAGCGUGGGGAGCAAACAGGAUUAGAUACCCUGGUAGUCCACGCUGUAAACGAUGUCGAUUUGGAGGUUGUGCCCUUGAGGCGUGGCUUCCGGAGCUAACGCGUUAAAUCGACCGCCUGGGGAGUACGGCCGCAAGGUUAAAACUCAAAUGAAUUGACGGGGGCCCGCACAAGCGGUGGAGCAUGUGGUUUAAUUCGAUGCAACGCGAAGAACCUUACCUGGUCUUGACAUCCACAGAACUUUCCAGAGAUGGAUUGGUGCCUUCGGGAACUGUGAGACAGGUGCUGCAUGGCUGUCGUCAGCUCGUGUUGUGAAAUGUUGGGUUAAGUCCCGCAACGAGCGCAACCCUUAUCCUUUGUUGCCAGCGGUCCGGCCGGGAACUCAAAGGAGACUGCCAGUGAUAAACUGGAGGAAGGUGGGGAUGACGUCAAGUCAUCAUGGCCCUUACGACCAGGGCUACACACGUGCUACAAUGGCAUAUACAAAGAGAAGCGACCUCGCGAGAGCAAGCGGACCUCAUAAAGUAUGUCGUAGUCCGGAUUGGAGUCUGCAACUCGACUCCAUGAAGUCGGAAUCGCUAGUAAUCGUAGAUCAGAAUGCUACGGUGAAUACGUUCCCGGGCCUUGUACACACCGCCCGUCACACCAUGGGAGUGGGUUGCAAAAGAAGUAGGUAGCUUAACCUUCGGGAGGGCGCUUACCACUUUGUGAUUCAUGACUGGGGUGAAGUCGUAACAAGUAGAAAAGGUCCC